rnacentral:lncRNA from 1 species
AAUAUAUGUGAUGAAGAUCUUACGUUUACGUUUCCAUUAGAAUCUCUGUAUUCCACUUUCACCCACUUGUUAACAUUUGCAAUACAUGUUUAGAUGUAUAUAAAAUGUGAAACAAAGCUGGACAGAUGCGACUCAAUCCCUGCUAUCCCUUUCACGAGAACGAUUCCUCUGUAAUAAAUGUUUAGAAAAGAAAUUUCAAAGUCUUUAAACAAAAAAGGGAUAGAAGAAAAUUCAAAGUCAACCGAUAUACACGAGUCAUUUUCAAAAUUGAUUUUUCUCUCUGGAUUUUUUAUGGAACAUAACUUAGGUUCAGGAGGUGAUCUUUAAAUUCACAUCUUCUUCCAGAACCAAUCAAAAUGCCACGUAGAUAAUUAAUUAAAAAAGAUUAAAUUUAUUUAAAAAUAACUAAAAAAAAUAACGCCAAUUUUAACAACGAUGAUGCUGCUAGCUGAACCGUAAACCCUAAAUCUUAAAUUCUAAAUCCUAAACCUUAAAUCCUAAACCUUAAAUCCUAAACUCUAAACCCUAUACCCUAAACCCAAAUCGUAUACCCUAAACCCAAACUGUAUACUCUAAACGCAAACCAUAAACCCAAAUCAUAUACCCUAAACCUAAAUCCUACACCCUA